ensembl:snoRNA
UGGAUCGAUGAUGACCACUGGUGGCAUAUGAGUCGUUCAUGAUAAAUGCGUGUCUGGAACUCUGAGGUCCAA